UACAGAGGUCCCAAGCGUUGUUCGGAUUCAUUGGGCGUAAAGGGUGUGUAGGUGGCGCCGUAAGUCGGGUGUGAAAUCUCGGGGCUUAACUCCGAAACUGCAUUCGAUACUGCGGUGCUUGAGGACUGGAGAGGAGACUGGAAUUUACGGUGUAGCGGUGAAAUGCGUAGAUAUCGUAAGGAAGACCAGUGGCGAAGGCGGGUCUCUGGGCCGUAACUGACGCUGAGGAGCGAAAGCAUGUGGAGCGAACAGG
rnacentral:rRNA from 1 species